rnacentral:rRNA from 1 species
GACGAACGCUGGCGGCGUGCUUAACACAUGCAAGUCGAACGAAAAGACCCUGCGUUUGUGGGUUCCUCGUUUGCCGAACAGGGGAGUGUCACGUGUAUAUCCUCCCCUUAUCUUUGUGAUAACUUCAGGAAACUGGGGCUAUUACCGGGGAUGAUCUCCUGCUCCGUGGUGUGGGAUGGAGAAUUUGGGCUGUGCGGGCUGGACUCGCGGGUUAUCAGCUUGUUGGUGUGGUAGUUACUUACCAGGGCUUUGACGGGUAGGCGGCAUGAGAGGGUGAACGGCCACAUUGGGACUGAGAUACGGAGCAGUCUCGUACGGUAGGCAGCAGGGGGGAAUAUUGCACAAUGGGCGGAAGCCUGAUGUGGAAACGCUGCGUGCGGGAUGACGGCCUACGGGUUGUAAACCGAUUUGGAAUGUGACGAAGAGUGAGUGACGGUAAUGGGUAAAGAAGCACCGGCUAACUACGUG